AGCGUUUUUACCAGAAGCUAGCCACAACUGAUUCAAAUAUUGGCCAGUAAUAUUCAUCUCCCAGAGAAGAAAUCUGAGUCGCAUACAUGUUUAGUAACUUGCUCUCUUGGACAGAGCAUGAUUGGCUGGUACACUAUUGCAAAUAUAUGACUCAGAUAUGAUGAUCACAAACACACUGUAUUCCCUUGUAGUCUUAGUGUCUACACUAGAGUACUGAUCUCUCACUGACCCUGCUUUCACCUCUCAAAUCUGCAGGCUCUGUUAGACAAGUUCUGUGGUGGAGGAUCAUUUUCACCAUCUAUGCAUUCUGACUCAACUAGGCAAGUGUUAAACAAGAUGGUGUACGGAAUGCAGUGUCCAACCCAGACAAGUGUUUGGGAAACUGCUUCUCCUCCUGACACCUAGAGCCUGCUCAUGGGACAGGACAGCAACAGGCACCCAGGAUAGAGAAUCCCUUCAGACAGCAAUUCAUCAAGAGACCCAUUGAGUUCAUUCUCAGAUGCCUUGCAACAUCUUGAAACACGUACCCAGAUUAUUCCUGACAUAGGGAUGUGCACACUCAGCAUUCGUGACGCUGAUUGAGUCUGGGUUGUUUGAGAAUUUCCAUGGGAUCUUCCAGUCAUCAACUCAAAUGAAUGCAAUGCAGUCCCACUACUAGAAGCUAUGCCUGCCUACCAGAAAUGGCCAGGUGAGUUUUCAUAGUCCCCAUUCCUAAGAGACCUCAUUAGGAUCACCUUUAUAAAUUCCAGAAAGUUUC
rnacentral:lncRNA from 1 species